GAGGAUGGAGUCGUCCCCACCUGACGUUAUAUAUGCUGGUGUGAAGUUCAGGCAAAGACCAGAAACUCCAGAUGUUGCAUCACCUGUCUGUGAGCUUCCCCAGAAUUCUAAUGACGCUCCAGAUGAAGAGAAGGAAGUCCUCUACUCAUCUGUAAAGUUUCGUUAAAUUAAUUUUAAUCUGCACUGCACUGUUGUUGGUAUGGUAUAAUUGUACAGUACGGGUUGGUGUGUGUUUUUAGCCCAGUUGGGGAAUUUAGUAGAAACACACAGUGACCACUGCUGUCUGCUAUAGAUACCAUAAAGCAGAAGUUGGGAAAUUUUGGUUUAUUACAAAAAGAAGAAGAGAAUAAUAAAGACCCACAUAUUGUGACAUUUUCGCACACACAGUACAGCAACUAUAAAUACAUACAUUAGUGUUGUCAAGCAAUCAGAUUCAUUACUGUAAAAGUAUUUUAAACUGUGCAAUUUAAAUGUAUUUUAGCAGAGGAGUAAAUUAAUUAAUGAAUAACUGGCAAAAACUCUUUAUAUUACAUCCAGAAGAUAUUAUUCAUCUUUAGGCCAAAAUUAUAACCCGAAUGAAACAAAAUAAUAACAGCUCAAAACUACUUAUUUUAACAUUGUAUGUUACAAAGUAAAAUCAGGCAACCAAUUGUACCUUAUUUAGCAACAUAGUUAAAUAUUAAUUCUAUAGACCA